AACGCCGCGUGAACGAAGAAGGCCUUCGGGUCGUAAAGUUCUGUUGUUAGGGAAGAACAAGUACCAGAGUAACUGCUGGUACCUUGACGGUACCUAACCAGAAAGCCACGGCUAACUACGUGCCAGCAGCCGCGGUAAUACGUAGGUGGCAAGCGUUGUCCGGAAUUAUUGGGCGUAAAGCGCGCGCAGGUGGUUCCUUAAGUCUGAUGUGAAAGCCCACGGCUCAACCGUGGAGGGUCAUUGGAAACUGGGGAACUUGAGUGCAGAAGAGGAAAGUGGAAUUCCAAGUGUAGCGGUGAAAUGCGUAGAGAUUUGGAGGAACACCAGUGGCGAAGGCGACUUUCUGGUCUGUAACUGACACUGAGGCGCGAAAGCGUGGGGAGCAAACAGGAUUAGAUACCCUGGUAGUCCACGCCGUAAACGAUGAGUGCUAAGUGUUAGAGGGUUUCCGCCCUU
rnacentral:rRNA from 2 species